CCCGCGGUUAUACGAGAGACCCCAGUUGAUAGCUACGGCGUAAAGAGUGGUUUGGGGCCACCCAUCAAAAUAAAGCCAAAGACCUCCCAAGCUGUCAAACGCACUCCGGAGACACGAAACCCUAACACGAAAGUAGCUUUACCUUCCCCCGACGCCACGAAAGCUAAGAA
rnacentral:rRNA from 1 species